UACGGGGGGGGCAAGCGUUGUUCGGAAUUACUGGGCGUAAAGGGCUCGUAGGCGGCCAACUAAGUCGGACGUGAAAUCCCCAGGCUCAACCUGGGAACUGCGUCCGAUACUGGAAGGCUUGAAUCCGGGAGAGGGAUGCGGAAUUCCUGGUGUAGCGGUGGAAUGCGCAGAUAUCAGGAGGAACACCGGUGGCGAAGGCGGGUCUCUGGGCCGGAACUGACGCUGAGGAGCGAAAGCGUGGGGAGCGAACAGG
rnacentral:rRNA from 1 species